rnacentral:rRNA from 1 species
GACAGGUGUUGCAUGGCUGUCGUCAGCUCGUGUCGUGAGAUGUAUGGUUAAGUCCAGUAACGAGCGCAACCCCUAUCCUUAUUUGCCAGCGAGUAAUGUCGGGAACUAUAGGGAGACUGCCGGGUGAAACCCGGAGGAAGGCGGGGACGAGGUCAAGUCAUCAUGGCCCUUAUGGAUUGGGCUACACACGUGCUACAAUGGGAAGUACAGAGGGAUGCGAAAGCGCGAGCUGAAGCCAAACCCUUAAAACUUUUCUUAGUCCGGAUUGGAGUCUGCAACUCGACUCCAUGAAGUGGAAU